rnacentral:rRNA from 1 species
GGACUACUGGGGUAUCUAAUCCUGUUCGCUCCCCCAGCUUUCGCGCCUCAGCGUCAGAUGCCAGCCAGGACACUGCCUUCGCCUUUGGUAUUCCUCCGGAUAUCUACGCAUUUCACCACUCCACCCGGAAUUCUAUGUCCCUCUCUGGCCCUCAAGUCCAGCCGUUUUCGGCAGCCUUUCCCAGUUAAGCCGGGAACUGUCACGCCAAACGUACUGCACCGCCUGCACGCCCUUUACGCCCAGUAACUCCGGACAACGCUCGCCCCCUACGUAUUACCGCGGCUGCUGGCAC